AGCGAAGCAAUUGGAAGUGGUUCCAAGAAAAGCCUCUAAGCUUCAGUCUAACGAUGACCGUACCGCAAACCGACACAGGUGGGCGAGAUGAGUAUUCUAAGGCGCUUGAGAGAACUCGGGAGAAGGAACUCGGCAAAUUGGUACCGUAACUUCGGGAUAAGGUACGCCCUGGUAGCUUGACUGGCCUGCGCCAGAAGGGUGAAGGGGUUGCAAUAAACUGGUGGCUGCGACUGUUUAAUAAAAACACAGCACUCUGCAAACACGAAAGUGGACGUAUAGGGUGUGACGCCUGCCCGGUGCCGGAAGAUUAAAUGAUGGGGUGCAAGCUCUUGAUUGAAGUCCCGGUAAACGGCGGCCGUAACUAUAACGGUCCUAAGGUAGCGAAAUUCCUUGUCGGGUAAGUUCCGACCUGCACGAAUGGCGUAACGAUGGCCACACUGUCUCCUCCCGAGACUCAGCGAAGUUGAAGUGUUUGUGAUGAUGCAAUCUACCCGCGGCUAGACGGAAAGACCCCAUGAACCUUUACUGUAGCUUUGCAUUGGACUUUGAACCGAUCUGUGUAGGAUAGGUGGGAGGCUAUGAAACCGGAACGCUAGUUUCGGUGGAGCCGUCCUUGAAAUACCACCCUGGUUUGUUUGAGGUUCUAACCUUGGCCCGUGAUCCGGGUCGGGGACAGUGCAUGGUAGGCAGUUUGACUGGGGCGGUCUCCUCCCAAAGCGUAACGGAGGAGUACGAAGGUACGCUAGGUACGGUCGGAAAUCGUGCUGAUAGUGCAAUGGCAUAAGCGUGCUUAACUGCGAGACCGACAAGUCGAGCAGGUGCGAAAGCAGGUCAUAGUGAUCCGGUGGUUCUGUAUGGAAGGGCCAUCGCUCAACGGAUAAAAGGUACUCUGGGGAUAACAGGCUGAUACCGCCCAAGAGUUCAUAUCGACGGCGGUGUUUGGCACCUCGAUGUCGGCUCAUCUCAUCCUGGGGCUGUAGCCGGUCCCAAGGGUAUGGCUGUUCGCCAUUUAAAGAGGUACGUGAGCUGGGUUUAAAACGUCGUGAGACAGUUUGGUCCCUAUCUGCCGUGGGCGUUGGAAGUUUGAAGGGGGCUGCUCCUAGUACGAGAGGACCGGAGUGGACGAACCUCUGGUGUACCGGUUGUGACGCCAGUCGCAUCGCCGGGUAGCUAUGUUCGGAAGAGAUAACCGCUGAAAGCAUCUAAGCGGGAAACUCGCCUUAAGAUGAGACUUCCCCGGGGACUUGAUCCCCUUGAAGGGUCGUUCGAGACCAGGACGUUGAUAGGUCGGGUGUGUAAGCGCAGUAAUGCGUUCAGCUAACCGAUACUAAUUGCCCGUACGGCUUGAUCCUAUAACA
rnacentral:rRNA from 1 species